CCUACGGGUGGCAGCAGUGGGGAAUAUUACACAAUGGGGGAAACCCUGAUGCAGCGACGUCGCGUGAGUGAUGAAGUAAUUCGUUAUGUAAAGCUCUAUCAGCAGGGAAGUAAAUGACGGUACGUGAGUAUGAAGCUCCGGCUAACUACGUGCCAGGAGCCGCGGUAAUACGUAGGGGGAAAGCGUUUUCCGGAUUUACUGGGUGUAAAGGGAGCGUAGACGGUGCGCCAAGUCUGCAGUGAAAGGCCGCAGCUUAACUGCGGAACUGCAUUGGAAACUGGCGGACUAGAGGGCGGGAGGGGUAAGCGGAAUUCCUAGUGUUGCGGUGAAAUGCGUAGAUAUUAGGAGGAACACCGGUGGCGAAGGCAGGUGACCGGACCGCAACUGACGUUGAGGCUCGAAAGCGUGGGGAGCAAACAGGAUUAGAUACCCUAGUAGUC
rnacentral:rRNA from 1 species